UGGGAACUGCGUGGGCCUUCUCACUAAGAAAACCGACCUUGCUAUGAAGCUCUCUCUGUCCGCGCAUGUACGACGCAUCUCUCACAGGCACAGCGAUCCAGAAAACUCAAGUGGCCGUCUCCAUUGCGGUCAUCUGGACUUCCAGGCAAACAGGACACACAGGGGACAAUGAGCAGGAUCAUCUUCUCAAGUUCUGUGCCAGAAAAACCCCAUUGAGAUUUUGCCUGCAAUUACAUUAAAUAUAUGAUCACUUUGAUCCUGCCAGGAUCGUCAGUAUAAUCUUGAGAAGAAAUUAUAAUAGCAGGCAUCUUUUCUAAUCAUUUAAUAUCCUAUUAAGAUGGGAGAUAUAUAUUUUGAA